ACAUACACACACACACACACACACACACACACAUGACUUCCAGUAAAGAAGAAGGCAGGAGGAGCAAACAGGGAGUAAAGUGAAAGUAUUCAGUCAGACUCCAUUUUAAAGUCGACAGAGCAGAAGGAGGAAACAGUCUGAGGCAGGGGAGGAGGACAGACAGAAUAGCGCUACACCUGACUGACAUAAAGGUUGUGAGUGUUGAGACCAGUUCAAAGUGCAAUCGUGACGUGACAAAAUACAUCUAAAGGGCCGCCGUUCAACAUCCAGAGUCCUGACAGUCAGUCAGCUCCAUCUGCCACACUGUGAAACCAUGUCGACCUUUGGACUUGUCUGGAGUCUCACUAAGUUACUGAACAUCCCAAUACGAAUUAGAGGCCGGGUUCUGCUGUUCCUCCGACCUCCAGACAUACAUCAUCAAAUACUCAAUGUAUUUCUG